rnacentral:lncRNA from 1 species
GAGUCGGCAAAGCCCGCGGUGCGCUGCUGCCCCGCUGCUGGGGUUCCUAGCCAGCGAGGUUAUGAUCCCCACCAGCGGUUCCACUUCCAGUCUGGCGCCGGCUGUGUCUGGAGUCGUUCCGAACAUUUUGCACGUGUAUUAACGUAUCUGAACCUCAAAACAACCCUGCAAGGAAGGUAUGACUGUUAUUCCCAUUUUACAGAAGAGGAGACUGAGACACAGGUUUAAGUGAUGUACCCAAGAUCACGGAACUAGUAAGUGGCCGAAUCCGCGUUCAAAUCCAGACGGUCUGGCUCCAGAGUCCGCCUUCUACCCCACCGUUGGCUGCCUUGGUUCAGCAACAGUGACUGUCACACGGAGCCCUCAGGAGUCGCGCUGACAAUGGGUGGGCCCUGCCUUCAAGUUCCACACUGUCUGUUUGUGUCAUUACAACACUACUGGAAGUAGGUGCAGUUAUAGACCCGCUGUUCAAGGUCAGCUGAAAUGAAAGUCAGGUCACACGAGUCCAAACUGUGGGGCCACUUAACCACCAACUCCAAGCAGGAAGGUGGACGAUCCCAGACUCGGUCGAAGACAAGCAUGUCUGGUUUGCUUGUCUUCCUUCUCAACCUGAAUGGCACGAACAUGGAGAAAUGCAUACUUACCCUGCCAGCUGGAGAAAACUGGAGACGAAGGAGGGAGCCAGGAGUUUCUACUUUGCCUUCCACCAGUUGCUGACACUUUCUGAACCCCGUCUGUAAAAUGAAGUCAUGCUGCCCAUCACUCAAAGUUGUGUGAAUUGAGAGAGUGCUCAUAGUGCUCUGUGAAUUGCAUAACAUCCAUUUUGCUGUUGAAGAUCAUUUAUUUUGGGUUCUUAGUCUCUCACAAAACCUUAGAACACUGACACCAAGACUCCAGCCUUUCCCUUUCGAAACAUAAUUCCCGUGCGCACCUAAAUGAUACUUUAUUUCAAGAAGUAGAACUGACACCCACACCUCAGCCCCAGAAUUAUUCAGAAUUAGAGAAUUUCAUCAAGAGGGAAGUUAUCCCUUCUAAAACAUCUUCCUCAUUACAGGAAGUAAGAAUGGCAGGAUAACAGUUUCUAGAGUGGAAAAGUGGAGCUCUGGCCUGAUUCUAUCAUCAUGGUGUACCCAGGGAGGCCUCAUUUCCUGGUAUCAAAUUCUCUGUGUUAAGAUAUCUAUGGCCCAAUUCAAAAUGGCUUAAGCAAUAAGAAGGUUUGUUUUCUCACAUAAUAAAAUGUUUGGAGGUAGGUAUGUCCAAGGUUGGUAAAGAGGCAGUUGAACAAUGUGACCAAAGACUCCAGUUCUGGCUGGGCCCGGUGGCUCACACCUGUAAUCCCAGCACUUUGGAAGGCUGAGGCAGGCGAAUCACUUGAGGCCAGGAGUUCGAGACCAGCCUAGCCAACAUAGUGAAACCCUGUCUCUACCAAAAGUACAAAAAUUAGGCAGGCAUGGUGGCGCGCGCCUGUAGUCCCAGUUACUCCAGAGGCUGAGACAGGAGAAUUGCUUGAAACCGAGAGGCAGAGGUUGCAGUGAGCUGAGAUCAUGCCGUUGCACUACAGCCUGGGUGAGAGAGUGAGACUCUCUCAGAAAAAAAAGACCCUGGUUCUGUCUAUCCUUUUGUGCCAUCAUCCUUGGUGUUCUGUUAUCCUGCGGUGUGCCCCUCAUGGUCCCAAGAUGGCUACUGUAGCUCAAAACAUCACAUCAUUACAUGCGAAUGUCCACAAGUGGAAGUUAGGACAUCCCUUCGAGCCUCUUUUUAAGAGUGAAGAAACCUUCCCUGG